UACGGGGGAUGCAAGUGUUAUCCGGAAUCCCUGGGCGUAAAGCGUCUGUAGGUGGUUACAUAAGUCAACUGUUAAAUCUUGAGGCUUAACCUCAAAAUCGCAGUCGAAACUGUUUGACUAGAGUAUAGUAGGGGUAAAGGGAAUUUCCAGUGGAGCGGUGAAAUGCGUAGAUAUUGGAAAGAACACCGAUGGCGAAGGCACUUUACUGGGCUAUUACUAACACUGAGAGACGAAAGCUAGGGUAGCAAAUGGG
rnacentral:rRNA from 1 species